AAAAAAAAAAAGAAGAAGAAGAAGAAGAAAGAAAGGGGAGAGGAGGAGCGUUCUCGACGAGCUGCACGAGACGCGCGGGGGAGCGUGGAAGGUACUCUCCAGGUGAUGUGCCAGCCCAUGCCAAGGACAGGUGGCAUCCAGUGGAGUUCUUCACAUUCCUGUGGUUAUUGUAAAGUAUCUUCCACGCACAAAAAAAAAAAGCCAUCAAAUCCCCCACAUUUUUAAUGGUUAUAGUCAUGGUGACAUGUUACUGAAGGAAAUUUAUAUCCAGCACCUGUCUCCCACUUGCCUCUGUUGUGUUUGUGCAGCCCCUUCCCAGCUGUUUGAGAAACACCCUGGGAAUUCCUGUUGGCUCCAGCGUGUAACCUGAUUCAUGGCAAGGAAUGCACGAGGGAGAAACCCCAGCUUAUCAGAAAAAAGGAAAAAGUGCAGGUGGAGAACGGGAGAGGGAGGCUCACUUGAACUUUGGCCUCCCCUGUCACAUCCCUGGUUGGCUGCCAGCUCUCCUCUCCUUGGAGAAUUGGAAUCAGCUCCUCAGAGGUGAAAUUCACCUGGAGCGAGCUGCACCUCGUCCUCCUGCCUCCUAAAAACACUGCUAUCAUCACUACUCUCAAAAGUGCUCUCUAGGAGGCAUUUUAUCUUCAUGAGAUGAGAUUUAUUAAGUUAAGAGCAAUACACGAAUCAGGUAUUGUUGACACAA